rnacentral:snRNA from 1 species
AUCACUGCUCGGCCUUUUGGCUAAGAUCAAGCGUAAUAU